GACUCCAUAGCUCAGUGGUAGAGCAUACGAUUGCAGAUCGUGCGGUCCCGUGUUCGAACCACGGUGGGGUCU
rfam:Serpula lacrymans var. lacrymans S7.3 unplaced genomic scaffold SERLA73scaffold_24, whole genome shotgun sequence.